UCCUAUUACCAGUCAGGUAGGAAGUAGCAGUGAAGUCCUAUUACCAGUCAGGUAGGAAGUAGCAGUGAAGUCCUAUUACCAGUCAGAUAGGAAGUAGCAGUGAAGUCCUAUUACCAGUCAGAUAGGAAAUAGCAGUGAAGUCCUAUUACCAGUCAGGUAGGAAGUAGCAGUGAAGUCCUAUUACCAGUCAGAUAGGAAGUAGCAGUGAAGUCCUAUUACCAGUCAGAUAGGAAGUAGCAGUGAAGUCCUAUUACCAGUCAGGUAGGAAGUAGCAGUGAAGUCCUAUUACCAGUCAGAUAGGAAGUAGCAGUGAAGUCCUAUUAACAGUCAGGUAGGAAGUAGCAGUGAAGUCCUAUUACCAGUCAGGUAGGAAGUAGCAGUGAAGUCCUAUUACCAGUCAGAUAGGAAGUAGCAGUGAAGUCCUAUUACCAGUCAGGUAGGAAGUAGCAGUGAAGUCCUAUUACCAGUCAGAUAGGAAGUAGCAGUGAAGUCCUAUUACCAGUCAGGUAGGAAGUAGCAGUGAAGUCCUAUUACCAGUCAGAUAGGAAGUAGCAGUGAAGUCCUAUUACCAGUCAGAUAGGAAGUAGCAGUGAAGUCCUAUUACCAGUCAGGUAGGAAGUAGCAGUGAAGUCCUAUUACCAGUCAGGUAGGAAGUAGCAGUGAAGUCCUAUUACCAGUCAGGUAGGAAGUAGCAGUGAAGUCCUAUUACCAGUCAGAUAGGAAGUAGCAGUGAAGUCCUAUUACCAGUCAGGUAGGAAGUAGCAGUGAAGUCCUAUUACCAGUCAGGUAGGAAGUAGCAGUGAAGUCCUAUUACCAGUCAGGUAGGAAGUAGCAGUGAAGUCCUAUUACCAGUCAGAUAGGAAGUAGCAGUGAAGUCCUAUUACCAGUCAGGUAGGAAGUAGCAGUGAAGUCCUA